UACGGAGGGUGCGAGCGUUAAUCGGAAUUACUGGGCGUAAAGCGCACGCAGGCGGUUUGUUAAGUCAGAUGUGAAAUCCCCGGGCUCAACCUGGGAACUGCAUUUGAAACUGGAAAGCUAGAAUCUCGUAGAGGGGGGUAGAAUUCCAGGUGUAGCGGUGAAAUGCGUAGAGAUGUGGAGGAAUACCGGUGGCGAAGGCGGCCCCCUGGAAGAAGACUGACGCUCAGGUGCGAAAGCGUGGGGAGCAAACAGG
rnacentral:rRNA from 1 species